rnacentral:rRNA from 1 species
UACGAAGGGGGCUAGCGUUGUUCGGAAUCACUGGGCGUAAAGCGCACGUAGGCGGUUCUUUAAGUCAGGGGUGAAAUCCCGAGGCUCAACCUCGGAACUGCCUUUGAUACUGGGGAUCUCGAGUCCGGGAGAGGUGAGUGGAACUGCGAGUGUAGAGGUGAAAUUCGUAGAUAUUCGCAAGAACACCAGUGGCGAAGGCGGCUCACUGGCCCGGAACUGACGCUGAGGUGCGAAAGCGUGGGGAGCAAACAGG